rnacentral:rRNA from 1 species
UGGUGGAGUGAUCUGUCUGGUUUAUUCCGAUAACGAACGAGACCUCAGCCUGCUAAAUAGUUGGACGAAUUCUAAAUUCGUUACAACUUCUUAGAGGGACUUGUGGUGUUUAGCCACAGGAAGUUUGAGGCAAUAACA